GCAACUCCCACCCUGCAGAGACAGCCUACAGCUCAGGGAAGUGAGGGAUGGGGGGACAGGCUGCAAGGAUACAUAUACUGAGACACUAAGGGACACUGGGAGACAUUAUGGCAGACACUGAGACAUUAAGGGACAAUGGGAGACAUUAUGGCAGACACUGAGACACUAAGGGACACUGGGAGACAUUAUGGCAGACACUAAGGGACACUGUGAGACAUUAUGGCAGACACUGAGACACUAAGGGGCACUGGGAGACAUUAUGGCAG